GACGAACGCUGGCAGCGUGCUUAACACAUGCAAGUCGAGCGGUAAGACCCUUCGGGGUACACGAGCGGCGAACGGGUGAGUAACACGUGAGCAACCUGCCCUGGACUCUGGGAUAAGCGCUGGAAACGGCGUCUAAUACUGGAUAUGAACCACGAAGGCAUCUUCAGUGGUUGGAAAGAUUUUUCGGUCUGGGAUGGGCU
rnacentral:rRNA from 1 species